GAACACCAGACAAAAUCUGGAAAUCCGAGGCCUGAAGUACACAAUCAGUAGCUUCGAGAAAAGCAUCUGCUUAAUCGAGGAAAAACUCUUCAAACAGGGAAAUGAGUUGAACAAAGAGAAAAAGUGCUCCUCCACGCAGACUGAGAACGAGCAGGAAGCUGACAAAGGUAUUUAGAUGUGACAUGUUAUAA